rnacentral:rRNA from 1 species
GAGACGACGCUGGCGGCGUGCUUAACACAUGCAAGUCGAACGGGAGUAUUGAAGAAGCUUGCUUUAGAGAUACUUUAGUGGCGGACGGGUGAGUAACGCGUGAGGAGCUGUCCUAUGCAGGGGGACAACAGCUGGAAACGGCUGCUAAUACCCCAUAAGCCGAGAGGUAAAAGGAUCAAUCCGGCAGAGGAGGUACUCGCGUCCUAUCAGCUAGUAGGUGAGGUAACGGCUCACCUAGGCGAAGACGGGUAGCCGGCCUGAGAGGGCGAACGGCCACACUGGAACUGAGAUACGGUCCAGACUCCUACGGGAGGCAGCAGUGGGGAAUAUUGGGCAAUGGGGGAAACCCUGACCCAGCGACGCCGCGUGGGUGAAGAAAUCCUUCGGGAUGUAAAGCCCUGUUGUAUGGGAAGAGCGGAAGACGGUACCAUACGAGGAAGCCCCGGCAAACUACGUG